rnacentral:lncRNA from 1 species
AGAUCCUGCCGGCUCUGGACUAGCCGCUCAGCACCAGGGCGGAAGGAAGACGAGGCGAGGCAAGCGCCAAGCUUCCAUCCGGACUUCAAGGCCAGUGGCUGGGUCUGGUUUUCUCAACACGGCCUCCUAGUCUCCUUCCCGCUUGGGCAUCUGUUUUUCUUAUAUAGACCCUGAAGCCGCCCGUGAUGUUCUGUAAGCAGGUUCCGCUUCAGAAUCAGAGGUACUUAAGAGGGAACCUGGAUGCUAGACCUGCCCUUGCUGCUGGCCUCAGUUUCUUUACCUGUAAAACAGGGAUUUUGGAACUGUUAAAUUAAAUCAAACUUAAAAGAAUUACAACUUAAAGCUGCUGGAACUUUACAUGAUCCCGAGCCUUGAGAGGAAUGUGGCUAUGCAGCCUGAGUCAUGUGGCAUGCAGAUGCAACCUCUGCCUUUUUCCGCUGUAAAUAAUUAAGAAGACCAAGUAGCAUCCAAGAGUCACCUAAGCUGAAGAUUCCCUUGAGAACAAGUACUGUCCUGUGGUUUCAUGGCCUUUCUUCCAUUUGUGGUUCUUGCCAAGCGGAAUUUAAAUGACAUCUUAUCAAGAUGGAUAAACCCUAGUUUCCCAGUGCUGGAAUAUAGAAAAUGGAUGGACAAGUAAAUCCCACUCAGCACCCAUAGCCCAGGCAUGGGGACCUCAACACAUUUGAGCCGCAGAGAUCACCUUUCAUUGUGAAUAGCUCUGAGAUGAUACUUCUGGUUGAAUGUCUUUUUGUCACUUCCGGCUGGAUCUACCAUGAAAGAUUUCUGAAUCCAGGAAGAGAGAUUGACUGGGCAACAUGUUAUUCAGAAACAGGACCUUGCCCUGUCACUCAGGAUGGAGUUCAGUGGUCCAAUCAUGGCUCAUUGUAGCCUCAAACUCCCAGGCUCAAGCAAUCCUACCACGUCAGUCUUCCCAGUAGCUGACAGGGUCUCACUCUGUCGCCCAGGCUGGAGUGCAGUGGCAUGAUCUUGGCUCACUGUAGUGUAGACUUCCCAGCCUCAAGGGAUCCUCCCACCCCAGACUCCCAAGUAGCUGGAAUUACAGGUCUCAUGCUCUCACUCAGGCUGCAGUACAGUGGCACAACCUCUACUCACUGCAGCCUCUACCUGCCAGGCUCAAGCAAUUCUCCUGACUUAGCCUCCCGAGUAGCUGGGAUUACAGUUGAAGCAUAUGUCCUGUGAGCUUAGGGGUGCUACAAGUUGACCACUGCAGCAGUAAAGAUGAUUCUGAAGAAUGGCAUGGGAUGGAUCCUUUCGAAUGCACUUGAGCAGCGGUCUCCAACCACAGGGCCACAGAGCUGGAGCUGGAUCUACCAUGAAAGACUUCUGAAUCCAGGAAGAGAGACUGACUGGGCAACAUGUUAUUCAGGAGAUGGGGUCUCACCCUGUCGCCCAGGCUUGAGUACAGUAGUGCUAUCACAGCUCACUGCAGCCUUGAACUCCUGGGCUAAGGAUCCUCCUACCUGAGCCUCCUGAGUAGCUGGGACUGUAGGGUCUCCCUCUGUUGUCCAAGGCUGGAGUGUAGUAGUGCUAUCACAGCUGACUGCAGCCUCAACCUUCCAGGCUGAAGCGAUCCUCCCAUCUCAACCUCCCACGUGGCUGAGACUACAGGCGCUUGCCACUAUGCCCAACUAAUAUUUGGAAUUUUCCUAUACGUGGAUUCCAGAGGGGUGACAGCGAAACGUGGGACCAUCCAGUUGCAGGAAAACGAGCUUAACACGCCCACUGAUUCUACAUUAUGCUCCUACCUCCCGGCAGCCUCUCCAGGCCCAGAACUUUCUCCAGUCGGCCUCCACAGACCAAGCUCAUGACUCACAAUGGCCUAUUUAGGCCCAUACCCUACCUCACGGCAGUCUCCGCAGAUGAGGCUACUGCCUCACAACAGCCUCCACAGGCACAGCUCCAUCGUUACAAUGGCCUCUUUAGACCCAGCUCCUGCCUCCCAGCCUUCUCUCUAGGCCCUGAACUUUCUCAAGUCGACGUCACCAGGCCCAGCUCAUGCUUCUUGGCAGCCUCUCCAGGCCCAGCUCUUCCUCCCGGCGGCCUCUGCAGGCCCAGACUGUCAUCAAGUCGGCCUGUCCAGGGCCAGCUCCUGCCUCCCGGCGCCCUCUGCAGGCCCAAGUCGUCCUCAAGUUGGCCUCCCCAGGCCCAGCUCCAGCCUCUCGGCGGCCUCUCCGGGUGCAAAAGUUCCUCGAGUCAGCCUCUCCAGGCCCAGCUCCUCCUGCCUCCCAGUGCCUCUUUCGGCCCAGCCCAGCUCAUGCCUCUGGGCGGCCUUCCCAGGCCCCGCUUUUGACUUUUGGCGGCCUCUGCAGGCCUCGACAAGGCCCGGCCUCCUGCCUCCCGAAGCCUGCACAGGCCCAGCCUCUGCCUCACAGCAGACUCUCCACGCCCAGCUAGCUCUCGCCUCACUGCGGCCUCCCCAGUCCAAAGCUCCUGCCUCUCGGCCGCUUCGGCAGGCCCAGCUCCCGCCUGCCAGUGCCUCUUCAGGCCCAUGGGGCUCAUUCCUCACAACGGCCUUUCCAGGCCCCGUUUUUCCCUUCCGGCGGCCUCUCCGGGCCCAGAACCUCCUCAAGUUGGCCUCUCCAGACCCACUUGCACCCUCCGGGCGUCCUCUCCAGGCCCAGCUCUUCCUCCCGGCUGCGUCUCCAGGCCCGACUCCUGCCUCCCAACAACCUCUUUGGACUCAGUGCCUGCCCAUCUCCUGGCGGCCUUGGUCGGCCCACAGCUUCCUCAAGCCAAGCUCCCCAGGCCCAGGUCAGGCCUCACGGUGGCCUCUCCAGGAUCAGCUCCUGCCCUCCGAUGGUGUCUCCAGGCCCCAAAUGGUCUCCGGCCAGUGGGCUCCUCCACGCCCAGCUUGGGCCUCCCGGCGACCUCUGCAGGCCCAAGUCGUCCUGAAGUCGGCCUCUCCCGGCCCUGCCUCCCAGCAAGUAAGCAAGCUUUUUUGGCUUAGCUCCUGCCCAGCUCCCAACCGCCUUUGUAGGCCCCGAACUUUCUCCAGCCAAGCUCUUCGGGCCCACCUCCUGCCUCCCGGUGGCCUGUACAGGCCCAGCUCUGGCUGGAGAACAGCCUCUGCAGGCCCCGCUCUUGCCU